ACGAACGCUGGCGGCGUGCUUAACACAUGCAAGUCGAACGAUGACGACCGAGCUUGCUCGGUCUGAUUAGUGGCGAACGGGGGAGUAACACGUGAGCAACCUGCCCUUCACUCUGGGAUAACCUCGGGAAAUCGGGGCUAAUACCGGAUAUGAGCUCCUGUCGCAUGGCGGGGGUUGGAAAGUUUUUCGGUGAAGGAUGGGCUCGCGGCCUAUCAGUUUGUUGGUGAGGUAGUGGCUCACCAAGGCGAUGACGGGUAGCCGGCCUGAGAGGGCGACCGGCCACACUGGGACUGAGACACGGCCCAGACUCCUACGGGAGGCAGCAGUGGGGAAUAUUGCACAAUGGGCGAAAGCCUGAUGCAGCGACGCCGCGUGAGGGAUGACGGCCUUCGGGUUGUAAACCUCUUUCAGCAGGGAAGAAGCGAAAGUGACGGUACCUGCAGAAGAAGCGCCGGCUAACUACGUG
rnacentral:rRNA from 1 species